ensembl:lncRNA
CCGCGGGGCCGCCCGCCUUCCGCCGCCCGCCCAGGCCGGGCCCCGCCGCGCCGCCGCCAUGGUUCCCUUCCCGCCUUCCGCCGCCCUCGGCCGGGCCCGGCUCGGCCUGCCGGCUCGGCGCUCACCUGCGGCCGCCGCCUCCUCCUCCUCCGCCGCGGGGGGAGGCCGAGCAGAAGCGGCGGUGGUGCCGGCGGACUCGGCGCUCCGCUCCGUGCGGGAAGAACGGGCGGCGCUUCCUCCCCUGCCCCGGGGAGCGGGAGGCAUGCGCCGCAGGGCCCGGCGCGGAGGCGGAGGGCGGACGGAACGCCGCGGUCAGCGGCCGCGGGAGGAGCGGGGCGGGGAGGAGCCGGGCCGGGGCGGCGUGCGGAGGGAGCGCGGAGCCGAGCGGGCCGCGCGGCUUCCAGCGGACGGAGCGCGUCGGCGAAACGUCGGCUGCCGUGCCGCGGCCGGGCUUCGGGACGGGAAAGUAGAGCGGGGCUCGGAGAGCCGAGCGCGUCCUUCCCGCGCCGAGGUUCUCACGCUCGGACCCCCAGCGGCACAGCGGGGCGCGGAGCUGCUCGGCGUCGCUCGCGGCUCUCGGGCGCGGCGCGUCCUGCUGCCGUCGGAUGACAGACGGACGCCCGGCGCUGCCUGCCUUCCCCUGGCCGGCUCAGCCCUGCUGCGAGCGGACGCCAUCCGUACUGCCGUACUGCUGGAGCUUCACCUCUUCCAGGAGUUUUUCUGCUCGCUUUGCACUCACUUAUUGUUGAGGAAUCGGUUCCCGUCUGCUUUCGCCCCAGAGGUGCUUGCCCGAGGCAGAAGGAAUCGUGCUUUUUCCUGGACCCCACCAUCACAUCCUAAUUCCUUUCCAGACCCGGGCUGCUUGUUUAGGGAAGUGGGGCAGGACCGUGCCAGGCACAGUUACAGACUCAGGCUGAUUCCUCUCCUGCUCUUACAACAGAUUAAACAGCUGACAAGGCCUCUGUUUUAUUUUAUUUUAUUUUUUCCCUGGGAUAUGUGGUGUGCUUUUAUAUCCCGAAAUGGCUCGCUUGAACAAGGCUGCUGCAAACAGCACAGCCAGCAUCUGUGUGCAGAGAAAACAAUGAGCUGGCUUUUCCUUAGCUGCAGAGUUGCAGCCUGGAGAAAGAAAAAGGACGAGAUUAAAACCGAAACAGUAAGAAUGAAAGGACUCACCUCGCAGCUCUUCCUGUUGUCAGGAGACCUGUGGAUUCUGGGCCAAUUACUGCUUUCGCAUGGAGCUGCGUUAACGUCGCUGCGUUGCUGUCGGUGGGGUGUGAGUCAGUGUGCUGCCAGCUGGGGGCACGGGAACAGCGACAGCCUCAGGUCCUGCAAACCUUUUGGUGGCAGUUUUGCGUUCCCCAAACAUGUCUUCAAGUUUGGGGACAAAAUGAAUCCAUUAAAGUGCAAUCUGGUUGUGUCCGUGAGGUUUUUUUGGUGGAAGCAUUGUGGGGGGGGGGAUGUGGAGGGAGUGUGGACUGAGCCUGGAGCUCAGCAGGUGUUUGGGUUCCACGGUCACAAGCUUCAGGAGCUCCAAAGCUUUUGUCAAAGAAGUCGUGCAAGCAUUGCCUUUAAAUAAAUGGCAUGGGCUGCAUCUCUUUGGUUGGGAAUGGGGCUCAGGGGGCUCCAGGACUUGCUUCCUUCUUGCAUGGGUUUGCUCGUGCUGUGAGCUGCAGCAGCGUGUGGCUGGAUCAUGUAGUAACAUGGUAAAUCAGAGAGUGUAGUUGUUAUUUAAUAAAUGCCAAGGAGACUCAUGAGGCCUUGAAGUU